rnacentral:rRNA from 1 species
CAGUCGCCGCGGUAAUACGAAGGGUGCAAGCGUUAAUCGGAAUUACUGGGCGUAAAGCGUGCGUAGGCGGUGAGUUAAGUCCGUUGUGAAAGCCCUGGGCUCAACCUGGGAAUUGCAGUGGAUACUGGGUCACUAGAGUGUGGUAGAGGAUAGUGGAAUUUCCGGUGUAGCAGUGAAAUGCGUAGAGAUCGGAAGGAACAUCUGUGGCGAAGGCGACUAUCUGGGCCAACACUGACACUGAGGCACGAAAGCGUGGGGAGCAAACAGGAUUAGAUACCCGCGUAGUCCCUGUCUCUUAUAA